rnacentral:rRNA from 1 species
UACGGAAGGCAGCAGUGGGGAAUAUUGCACAAUGGGCGAAAGCCUGAUGCAGCUAUGCCGCGUGUAUGAAGAAGGCCUUAGGGUUGUAAAGUACUUUCAUCGGGGAGGAAAAAACAAAACUAAUAAUUUUAUUUCUUGACGUUACCCGAAAAAGAAGCACCGGCUAACUCCGUGCCAGCAGCCGCGGUAAUACGGAGGGUGCUAGCGUUAAUCAGAAUUACUGGGCGUAAAGAGCACGUAGGUGGUUUUUUUAAAGUCAGAUGUGAAAUCCCUGGGCUUAACCUGGAACUGCAUUUUGAAACUGAAAUACUAGAGUAUCGUAGAGGGAGGUAGAAUUCUAGGUGUAGCGGUGAAAUGCGUAGAUAUCUGGAGGAAUACCUGUGGCGAAAGCGGCCUCCUAAACGAAUACUGACACUGAGGGUGCGAAAGCGUGGGGAGCAAAACAGGGAUUAGAUACC